ACGGAAAGACCCCGUGAACCUUUACUAUAGCUUGACACUGAACAUUGAGCCUUGAUGUGUAGGAUAGGUGGGAGGCUUUGAAGUGUGGACGCCAGUCUGCAUGGAGCCGACCUUGAAAUACCACCCU
rnacentral:rRNA from 1 species